UUUGUUAUUUUUUAUUUUUUAUUUAACCAGGAGAAUCCCGUUGAGAUUAAAAACCUCUUUUUCAAGUGAGUCCUGGCCAAGAGGCAGCAAAGUUACAACUUGAUUGAGCACACAG